rnacentral:rRNA from 1 species
GAUGAACGCUGGCGGCGUGCCUAAUACAUGCAAGUCGAGCGAACGGACGAGAAGCUUGCUUCUCUGAUGCUAGCGGCGGACGGGUGAGUAACACGUGGAUAACCUACCUAUAAGACUGGGAUAACUUCGGGAAACCGGAGCUAAUACCGGAUGAUAUUUUGAACCGCAUGGUUCAAAAGUGAAAGACGGUCUUGCUGUCACUUAUAGAUGGAUCCGCGCUGCAUUAGCUAGUUGGUAAGGUAACGGCUUACCAAGGCAACGAUGCAUAGCCGACCUGAGGGGGUGAUCGGCCACACUGGAACUGAGACACGGUCCAGACUCCUACGGGAGGCAGCAGUAGGGAAUCUUCCGCAAUGGGCGAAAGCCUGACGGAGCAACGCCGCGUGAGUGAUGAAGGUCCUCCGAUCGUAAAACCCUGUUAUUAGGGAAGAACAUAUGUGUAAGUAACUGUGCACAUCUUGACGGUACCUAAUCAGAAAGCCACGGCUAACUACGUG